CACUCAUAGGGAAUGAUGAGUGAGUGAUGGUAUCUUACCAGAAAGUCACGGCUAACUACGUGCCAGCAGCCGCGGUAAUACGUAGGUGGCGAGCGUUAUCCGGAAUGAUUGGGCGUAAAGGGUGCGUAGGUGGCAGAUCAAGUCUGGAGUAAAAGGUAUGGGCUCAACCCGUACUGGCUCUGGAAACUGAUCAGCUAGAGAACAGAAGAGGACGGCGGAACUCCAUGUGUAGCGGUAAAAUGCGUAGAUAUAUGGAAGAACACCGGUGGCGAAGGCGGCCGUCUGGUCUGGAUUCUGACACUGAAGCACGAAAGCGUGGGGAGCAAAUAGGAUUAGAUACCCUAGUAGUCCACGCCGUAAACGAUGAGAACUAGGUGUUGGGGGAAUAACUCAGUGCCGCAGUUAACGCAGUAAGUUCUCCGCCUGGGGAGUAUGCACGCAAGUGUGAAACUCAAAGGAAUUGACGGA
rnacentral:rRNA from 1 species